rnacentral:rRNA from 1 species
AUGGCCAUCAAGGGCAACUCUGGCGAGUACAAGGCGCGGAGCCCGCUGGGCAUGGUGAUCGCCGUCCUGCUGUGCUGCUUCUUCUACGUGCUCGGCGCGUGGCAGCGCAGCGGCUACGGCAAGGGUGACAGCAUCGUGGUGGCGGUGACCCGGCAGACGGCCUGCGCCAGCGCCUCUGCCGUGGGGCUCAGCUUCGAGACGCACCACACCGGCGGCCUGGCCAACGCGACGACGUCCGGCCUUGGCGGCAAGCCGCCGCCGUCGUUCGCGCCGUGCGCGGCAGCGCUCACGGACCACACUCCGUGCCACGAUCAGGACCGCGCCAUGAAAUUCCCACGCAAGAACAUGGUGUACCGGGAGCGGCACUGCCCGUCGGACGGCGACCGGCUGCGGUGCCUCGUGCCGGCGCCGCCUGGGUACGUGACGCCGUUCCCGUGGCCCAAGAGCCGCGACUACGUCCCUUACGCCAACGCGCCGUACAAAAGCCUCACCGUUGAGAAGGCCGUCCAGAACUGGGUCCAGUACGAGGGCGCCGUAUUCCGUUUUCCCGGCGGCGGCACCCAGUUCCCCCACGGCGCCGACAAGUACAUCGACCAGCUCGCCUCCGUCGUCCCCUUCGCCGACGGCUCCGUCCGCUCCGUCCUCGACACCGGCUGCGGCGUGGCGAGUCUCGGCGCAUACCUAGACUCCCGUGGCGUGAUGGCCAUGUCGUUCGCACCGCGCGACUCGCACGAGGCGCAGGUGCAAUUCGCGCUGGAGCGCGGUGUGCCGGCCUUCAUCGGCGUCCUUGGCUCCGUCAAGCUCCCAUUCCCUCCAAGAUCCUUUGACAUGGCGCACUGCUCCCGGUGCCUCAUCCAGUGGUCCGGCAACGGCGGGAUGUACAUGAUGGAGGUGGACCGGGUGCUCGGGCCGGGCGGGUAUUGGGUCCUCUCCGGCCCGCCGAUCAACUGGAAGGCGAAUCACAGGAAGUGGCAGCGCACGGAGGAGGACCUGGGAGGCGAGCAGAAGAGGAUUGAGGAGUACGCGCAGAUGCUCUGCUGGGAGAAGGUCACCGAGAUGGCCGAGAUUGGCGUGUGGCGCAAGCGGACGGACACGGCAGCGUGCCCGGCCAUGCCGCCGGCGGUCCAGGCCUGCGACCCGGCAAAUCCCGACGACGUCUGGUACAAGAACAUGGAGACGUGCAUCACGCCGUCCACCACUGCCGCCGGAGGAGAACUGCAGUCGUUCCCGGAACGGCUGAAGGCCAUCCCGCCACGCAUAAGUUCUGGCGCCGUCCAGGGCUUCAUCGUGGAGUCGUACGAGGAGGAGAACCGACGGUGGGAGAGGCAUGUGAAGGCAUACAGGAAGGUUAACUACAAGCUCGACACCAAGCGGUACCGGAACAUCAUGGACAUGAACGCCGGCGUGGGCGGCUUCGCGGCGGCGAUCUUCUCCCCCAUGUCCUGGGUGAUGAACGUGGUGCCCACCGCCGCCGAGCUCUCCACCCUCGGCGUCAUCUAUGAGAGGGGUCUCAUUGGCAUCUAUCAUGACUGGUGUGAAGCAUUCUCUACCUACCCAAGAACCUAUGACCUCAUCCAUGCCAACGGAGUAUUCAACAUCUAUAGGGACAAGUGCAAGAUGGAGGACAUCAUGCUGGAGAUGGACCGGAUUUUGCGCCCUGAGGGCACGGUGAUCCUCCGGGAUGACAUCAACGUCCUGCUGCGGGUGGACAAGGUGGCGACGGGGAUGCGGUGGAAGACGAUGAUGGCAAACCACGAGGACAGCCCGCACAUCCGAGAGAAGGUGCUCUACGCUAUCAAGCCCUACUGGACCGCCGACAGCGACAAAAGCUCCCAAGACCAAGAGAAGAAGGCAACCUCUUCUAAGGGCAAGGGCUCAGACUCAGAGGUGUGA